CCUUCCCUGGUUGUCACCCAAGAGAGGAU
rnacentral:piRNA from 1 species